GGCACCGUAGCUCAGCAGGUCAGAGCGCGUCUCUCAUAAGGACGAGGUCGGCAGUUCGAGACUGCCCGGUGCUA
rnacentral:tRNA from 2 species